rnacentral:rRNA from 1 species
AGCAGUAGCCGCGGUAAUACAGAGGGUGCGAGCGUUAAUCGGAUUUACUGGGCGUAAAGCGUGCGUAGGCGGCUUUUUAAGUCGGAUGUGAAAUCCCCGAGCCUAACUUGGGAAUUGCAUUCGAUACUGGGAAGCUAGAGUAUGGGAGAGGAUGGUAGAAUUCCAGGUGUAGCGGUGAAAUGCGUAGAGAUCUGGAGGAAUACCGGUGGCGAAGGCAGCCAUCUGGCCUAAUACUGACGCUGAGGUACGAAAGCAUGGGGAGCAAACAGGAUUAGAUACCCCCGUAGUCCCUGUCUCUUAUAC